rnacentral:rRNA from 1 species
CCUACGGGGGGCAGCAGUGGGGAAUAUUGGACAAUGGGGGGAACCCUGAUCCAGCCAUGCCGCGUGUGUGAAGAAGGCCCUCGGGUUGUAAAGCACUUUCAGUGAGGAAGAACGCCUGGUGGUUAAUACCCAUCAGGAAAGACAUCACUCACAGAUGAAGCACCGGCUAACUCCGUGCCAGCAGCCGCGGUAAUACGGAGGGUGCGAGCGUUAAUCGGAAUUACUGGGCGUAAAGCGCGCGUAGGUGGCUUGAUAAGCCGGUUGUGAAAGCCCCGGGCUCAACCUGGGAACGGCAUCCGGAACUGUCAAGCUAGAGUGCAGGAGAGGAAGGUAGAAUUCCCGGUGUAGCGGUGAAAUGCGUAGAGAUCGGGAGGAAUACCAGUGGCGAAGGCGGCCUUCUGGACUGACACUGACACUGAGGUGCGAAAGCGUGGGUAGCAAACAGGAUUAGAUACCCUUGUAGUC